GUCAGGGCUGACAGCAUGGGAGAUGGCGAGAGGGCUGCUUCACAAUGGGCCGGGGCUGGAGGCGCUGCGUGCGGCUCUGCGUGUGCGUGGGGCUCUCCGUGAGGCUGUGUGGUCAGCACUUGGAAUCAGCCGGGGAUGCACUCCAGUGACUAAUGUCUCCAGUGUGUCAUCUGUGCCACAAACAGCUGCAUGGAGGUGGUUAAUUUCCAAGGGGAGAUGCCUCACCACAAAAUGUCCCUCUCUGCCCUGCCACAGUUGGUCUUGAUUUGACUGUCUCUGUGGAGAAGCCAAGGAUCAAAUGCUCCAUGGCGCCAGACUGUUUUCUUUUGCAGCCUGCAGGUCACCAGGAUACUUAAGAAGUUUGCGUUAAUUAUACCAUGUUUGCCAUCAAAGAGGGGAUAUUAACCCUUUCAAGCUGUUGCAGGAAAGCAGUGGAGCCAUUUGAAAGAACUGCUGAAGCCCCCGCUCAGAGAAGCACGCUCCUCCGGGCGCUGGGGGAUGCACCACCCCUCCUGACGGCCUGAUGGAUUAUGGCCCCAGUUCUGUCAGUGCAUCCAACCAAACCAGCAAAGAGGCAGAGAGGCAGC